AUUUAUAUUUUUGUAACAUCAUAUUUUAACAGUCUCCAGAGACCAAAGGAUCGACCCAAAUUUCAGAUAGCAAAAUUAAAAAAAAAAUCUAUCUUUAGUGUCUAUAUUAUAUGUGUGAUAUAGCAGUGAAGUGCUUCUACACAUAAAGAGAGCAAUGAAGAAAUGUGAGUUAUGCAAUAGUAUAGCAAGAGUUUACUGUGAAUCAGAUCAAGCCAGUCUUUGUUGGGAUUGUGAUGCCAGAGUUCACGCAGCUAAUUUCCUUGUGGCUAAGCAUUCAAGAAAUCUUCUGUGCAAUUCUUGCCAAUCACUUACCCCGUGGACUGGCUCUGGCUCUAAACUUGGUAGCACUGUUUCAGUUUGCCAGACAUGUUUUCACAGAAAUAAUGAUGGUGCAGAUCAUGAUCUUGAUCAUAAUGAUACAGAUGAUGAAGAUGAUGACGGAAGCAGUGACGAAGAUGAUGGUGAUAAUCAAGUGGUUCCUUUGUCUUUUUCAACUACUGAUCAGCCUCGUCCUCCGUCAUUGGCGUCAAGUUCUUCUUCAAGUAGUGAAGAGUCUACUAGCAGAUUUUACAGGAGAAGAGUAGUUGGUGUCUCCAAUUCAACUAUUGGGUUUUCACCUAACACAACAGAUGAAAAUGUUCGAUCCCAUUUUCGUGGAAUUUCAAGACCUGAAGAGAAGGUAAAGAUGAGUUCAUGGACUUGGAGAUAAAAUAGGGAAAUUUUUCAGAGCAAAAGCUUCUCUGUUAUCUGAUUGAUGAAGGGAAAGAGUAUUGGCAGUGAUAGAUGGUCGGUAUGAAUAAAUGUUGAAGAGUUGUAAAUGACACAUGAGUUGAAAGCCAGAUAUGGCCGAAAUCAAGAUGUGGGAAAAAGAUGAUCGGACUGGACACCUCUCAAUUAUAGAAGUCAUGGUUUUACUCAUUGGCAAGCAAGAAUGGUUUUUGCACCAAAUACAAUAUAAGAAUGCAUGACAUGUUGCUCAUUCCUACAACAAAAAGAUAGAGGCUUAUUAAUCACAUUUUCUUCGAUUUCA